rnacentral:misc_RNA from 1 species
UUUCCGUAGGUGAACCUGCGGAAGGGUCAUUAUCGAGCUUCCAAAAAAAUCUCAUACCGUGCAUACCAUCCAUUUGCACGCAGGUGAGCCGCGUAGUCCAACCGCCAUGCUGGUAUGGUCGCUUGCUAGCUGUAUGCUUGUGCCCAUUGGGGUGCAGCAGUCUUGGCUGGCAGUUAGUCGACCGGCGGUUGAGACGUGCAAGCGCGAUUUACGAGUGCGCUCAGGAUGAUGCGUUCGGCAGGUCAAAAAGUGUUCGCAUCGCUGGUUUCCUGAGGCACGUUAUACGUACAAACGGUGCCCAUCGUUGGCGUCUACGCUGUGCAGAGCUGAUGCCCGGACCGUCAUUGGCGAUGAAAUGCACAGAGAGCAGCUCCCCAGGCUGGUAAAUUGGGUCGAGCAGACUUAAUGAGCGUUCAGCGAGUGCGCUGCCAACAACCAAAUCUCUCAAUACGCUGAAUUUGUGUUACAAAUGACAUGCAUACACUUUUUGUGGGUGUUUGUGUGGAAAUGAAUAUACUACUCUUAGCGGUGGAUCACUCGGCUCGU